CCUGAUCUAGCCAUGCCGCGUGAGUGAUGAAGGCCUUAGGGUCGUAAAGCUCUUUCGCCUGUGAUGAUAAUGACAGUAGCAGGUAAAGAAACCCCGGCUAACUCCGUGCCAGCAGCCGCGGUAAUACGGAGGGGGUUAGCGUUGUUCGGAAUUACUGGGCGUAAAGCGCACGUAGGCGGAUUGGAAAGUUGGGGGUGAAAUCCCGGGGCUCAACCCCGGAACUGCCUCCAAAACUAUCAGUCUAGAGUUCGAGAGAGGUGAGUGGAAUUCCAAGUGUAGAGGUGAAAUUCGUAGAUAUUUGGAGGAACACCAGUGGCGAAGGCGGCUCACUGGCUCGAUACUGACGCUGAGGUGCGAAAGUGUGGGGAGCAAACAGGAUUAGAUACCCUGGUAGUCCACACCGUAAACGAUGAAUGCCAGUCGUCGGGCAGUAUACUGUUCGGUGACACACCUAACGGAUUAAGCAUUCCGCCUGGGGAGUACGGUCGCAAGAUUAAAA
rnacentral:rRNA from 1 species